GAAUAUUUUAAUAAGACUGCAAGGAAGCAUACAGAGACACAUGGAAAAUACAAAGAUAGCUGUUUUAUUGUAGCAUGGACAUGGACUUUAUGGCUGGCAAUUUGGGCGUUUCAAGCUCUUUUUGUUGUUUACUUGUGGUACAUGUUUGACAAGUAAUUUCCAUUUUCCAAGUCAUUUUUUUCAUCUGUAAAAUGAGACUAAUUCAAAUAACUUCCCUCGAUAGGUUUCUAUUUUUGGUGAGAAUUGUUUUUUUCUUUUCAUGUAGUAUAUAUUUUAUUAGCUUGUACUAAUACAUUCUCAUAUUACAAAGUCAAUUUAGUGGAAGAAUCUUCCUUCUGAUAUUUGAUUCAUGUGAAAUAACACAAACAGAACUAUACAUUCAAAAAAAUUCUCAUUUAGAUAACAAAAAAAAGACAAGUUAAACAACAAAAAUCUUUUCCUUUCUCACAGGUGGACAUUGAAGUGGACCUAAUUCGGUUUUCCUUUUAAAAGCCCCCACAAACAAAAGUAGUUUGAAACCUAUUUAAAAUGAAUAAAAAAUUGGUUUACUAAAUUACUGGUCUCCAGCACCAUUUUCUGUUUUCGGUUGUUUGGAUGCAGGUUAUUCUUUGUCUGUUUCUUCUCUUCCUCUUUUUCAUAGGUCCAGUUGAACCAUUUUCAUCAUGUGCAUCAUCACUAGCAAACUUUGUUUUCUUGUCCUGAAAUUGUACUUUUCCUUUACCAGACCCAGGCUGGGCAGCUUUACUACCCUUUCUUUUUCCUUUAAAUCUGCAACCUUUUGACUUCCAUUUGUUUAGGGAUUCUUGUUGGUCUUCUGUUAUUUUUUUAAGUGCUUCUUUUUCCAGCUCUCCUUCUAGUACUUCCCAAGUCACUUCUUUGCUCCUUAAUUGUAGGUUACCAUUAUUUGCAUCUUUGGCUUUACCCAAUGUUUCCUUGGCUUUUUCUUUAAAUAGAAUUAUCCCCUCUUUUGCUCCUCUGAUGAAGUCUAUCCAUUUUAUUUCACCAUGAUUUGAGAAGAGGAUGUGUAAAUCUUCUUUACAGGUCUGAUCAUCUAAAUCACCCAAAAAUUUCAGCAAGCAUCCAAUCUUUUCUUCUAGAGAUUUCAUUUCAGCAUCUUCUUCUUUUGUUUUGCUUCUUGCUCUUGUUUAGCUCUUAAUUUAGCUUCCACUUUAUUUUGUUUUCUUUCUUCAUUUUUUUUUUUUUUUUUGGCAAAGCAAUCGUUCUUGAAAAGUAUUAGCAGGUCUGUGUCUUUGUACUUCUGGCCAGGGGUCUCUACAAACUUCUUAGCAGAUUCAAUGCUACCAAACACAACAAAAAUUGAUCCCUUAAAUGCUUUAUGCAAUAUUCUUCUCAUCUGAAUAUUUAGUACUUGACCUUUAUCUUCUAACCAUUCUUUCAUGCAUCAAGAGUUGCAUCAGUAGGGAAGCCUUUAAUAUAAACAGAUCUGUUUUUUACAUCAUUUUAAUACUCAUCAGUCACUUCAGGUAGGGAUUUGCUUGGAGACCUUCUGAUUUUAGUUUUAUCUUCACUGAUUUCCAUGACUUCUGCCUUGGAUUUGCUCAAUGCUUCCACAAUUACGUUAAAGUCUGUUGUUAGACGGUUCAACCUGUUGAAUUUUAUCAUUAUCUCCAAAGAUACCCAGCCUUCAUCCAGUUUUAUCUUUUCCUUUAAAAACUUGUCCCGUGGCAACCUGAGGUCUCCAAGAUAAUACUCAAUUUGAUGACAGAUUUUGGCCUCCAGGGCAGCCAUCUUUUCAUUAUCACCAUUUUCAGCAUUGUGACUAUAGAGAUGGACACAAGCCUUCGGUGAGACUACAACAUGGUGGAGGUAAAAAACCGAAAGGACGCAAUGAGGAUGGGGGCAGCCACAGUCCCGUCUCAAAGUGACCGCUGAACUGCCUGGGCAGCAGCCACGUGCGGGGAACCCCAGGCUGCCGCAUUUCUCGUGGGGGCAGCCUGGCCACCGCCCGCUCCCGUUCCGCUACGCCCCCUCUGGCUGCGGCCCACGCGGCGCUCAGCCUGAACCUGAGGAAGGCGAGGGGCGAACGGACGCCGCGAGAGGCAGUGAGGAACAGCAACACGCCGUCGCGCACCAGCAAAGCGGGCCCUUUUGUAGCUUCUCUUUGCUACCAGCAAACAGAUGUAGAGACCAACACAACGGCACUUACAAAAGUCUGGAAGGAGUGAGACAAUGAGGAGAAAUUGGUGCUUGGAUACUUUGUGUAACAUGCUUAAAGUCACGUUAAAACUAACACAAACAAUGUCAAGAGCCUCAGUUCUUAAUACUGAAAUUAGGAAGCCAUGGAAGCCAUUGAGGACAGGGUCAUCAAUGACUCAGUUACUGAGCCAUUCCCUGGGAAUAACAUCUUGACUAAACAUAAUCUUUAUCUUCAAGGACCUCUCAUUAUUCAGUGGAGUAAAGACACGGGGAAAUGGGGAAUUUUCAUGCAGUCGUUAGAGGCCUAAGGUGACAAGAGAGUGUUUUGGGAAGUGUGAUCACCUUCCUUGGUAAAUCAGCAUCUGAGAAUAGAAGUUUCUUCUAGAUAAAAUUGGCACUGAGUUUAUACUCAAAUGAGAAGGCUGAAAGGAGUGAGGAAGUGUCAUAGCAACCUAGCAAAUGCUGAUUCUAGAAAAAGCCAACUUAAAAAAAGCACAAAAGCUUUGCAUUAUUUUUACUUGCCCUUGCCUCCCACCUACCCCGACUCAAUGACAGUUUUGAAGCCAGCAGACUG
rnacentral:lncRNA from 1 species